rnacentral:rRNA from 1 species
GACGAACGCUGGCGGCGUGCUUAACACAUGCAAGUCGAGCGGAAAGGCCCUUCGGGGUACUCGAGCGGCGAACGGGUGAGUAACACGUGAGUAACCUGCCCCAGACUUUGGGAUAACCCUCGGAAACGGGGGCUAAUACCGGAUACGACACAGCUUCGCAUGGGGUCUGUGUGGAAAGUUUUUCGGUUGGGGAUGGGCUCGCGGCCUAUCAGCUUGUUGGUGGGGUGAUGGCCUACCAAGGCGACGACGGGUAGCCGGCCUGAGAGGGCGACCGGCCACACUGGGACUGAGACACGGCCCAGACUCCUACGGGAGGCAGCAGUGGGGAAUAUUGCACAAUGGGCGGAAGCCUGAUGCAGCGACGCCGCGUGAGGGAUGACGGCCUUCGGGUUGUAAACCUCUUUCAGCAGGGACGAAGCGUAAGUGACGGUACCUGCAGAAGAAGCGCCGGCCAACUACGUG